rnacentral:rRNA from 1 species
AGUAAAUAGAUACCCCGGUAGUCCACGCCGUAAACGAUGAGUACUAGGUGUAGGAGGUAUCGACUCCUUCUNUGCCGCAAGUUAAACACAAUAAGUACUCCGCCUGGGAAGUACGGUCGCAAGAUUAAAACUCAAAGGAAUUGACGGGGGCCCGCACAAGCAGCGGAGCAUGUGGUUUAAAUUCGAAGCAACGCGAAGAACCUUACCUAGACUUGACAUCUCCUGAAUAGUGUAGAGAUACAUGAAGCCCUUCGGGGCAGGAAGACAGGUGGUGCAUGGUUGUCGUCAGCUCGUGUCGUGAGAUGUUGGGUUAAGUCCCGCAACGAGCGCAACCCUUAUUACUAGUUGCUACCAUUAAG